AUGAACGCUGGCGGCGUGCCUAACACAUGCAAGUCGAACGGAGAUAUAACGCUGCAGAGACCUCGGUCAAAGCUUGUUGUAUCUUAGUGGCGGACGGGUGAGUAACGCGUGGGCAACCUGCCUCAUACUGGGGGAUAACAGUUGGAAACGGCUGUUAAUACCGCAUAAGCGCACAGAGUCGCAUGACUCAGUGUGAAAAACUCCGGUGGUAUGAGAUGGGCCCGCGUCAGAUUAGCCAGUUGGCGGGUAACGGCCCACCAAAGCAACGAUCUGUAGCCGGACUGAGAGGUCGGACGGCCACAUUGGGACUGAGACACGGCCCAAACUCCUACGGGAGGCAGCAGUGGGGGAUAUUGCACAAUGGAGGAAACUCUGAUGCAGCGACGCCGCCGUGAGUGAAGAAGUAUUUCGGUAUGUAAAGCUCUAUCAGCAGGGAAGAAAGGCUCGAAAGAGAGAUGACGGUACCUGACUAAGAAGCCCCGGCUAACUACGUGCCAGCCGCGGC
rnacentral:rRNA from 1 species